rnacentral:rRNA from 1 species
GAGUUUGAUUCUGGCUCAGGACGAACGCUGGCGGCGUGCUUAACACAUGCAAGUCGAACGAACCCGACCUUCGGGUCAUAUGGGUGAGUGGCGAACGGGUGAGUAACACGUGAGAAACCUACCCCAGAGUCCGGAAUAACUCUUAGGAAACCCGAGCUAAUACCGGAUGCCCUCGUCAGAUCGAAUGGUCUGUUGAGGAAAGAUUUAUCGCUUUGGGAGGGUCUCGCGGCCUAUCAGCUUGUUGGUGAGGUAAUGGCUCACCAAGGCAUCGACGGGUAGCUGGUCUGAGAGGACGAUCAGCCACACUGGGACUGAGACACGGCCCAGACUCCUACGGGAGGCAGCAGUGGGGAAUCUUGCACAAUGGGCGAAAGCCUGAUGCAGCGACGCCGCGUGGGGGAUGAAGGCCCUAGGGUCGUAAACCCCUUUCAGUAGGGACGAAAUUGACGGUACCUACAGAAGAAGCUCCGGCCAACUACGUGCCAGCAGCCGCGGUAAGACGUAGGGGGCGAGCGUUGUCCGGAAUUAUUGGGCGUAAAGAGCUCGUAGGCGGUUCCGUAAGUCAGAUGUGAAAACUCAGGGCUCAACCCUGAGACGCCAUCUGAUACUGCGGUGACUUGAAUCCAGUAGGGAGUGUGGAAU